rnacentral:rRNA from 1 species
AUGGAUAUGUUGGUGAAGAUGGCGGAGGUGUUGGUGAAGAUCGCGGUGAUGAUGAUGGCCCCCAGUGGCGUUCCAGCGCCACCGAAAGCAAGGCGGAGAGAGCCCCCCUUCUUCUUCCUUGACCUUCUCCCUAGAUGGGAGAAGGGUUUCCCCUCUGGUCCUUGGCUCCCAUGGAGUGGGAGGGGAGAGAGCCCCUCCGAGAUUGGAUCUAUCUCUCUGUCUCUCUCUGUUUCUACGCUCUGGGAUUUUGCCCUUUCACCGCUUCUUUUAUAUCCGGAGAUUCGUAACUCCGAUUGGAUUGAAACUUUCACCCAGAUUUUUCUCUAA